CUCAUCAGUGAAAUACUCGUCUCUACUUGGAUCCGGAGAAGCUGCUGCCAUUACAUCCCAGCCAUUUCCUUACUGACCCCCAAAUGAGUUCCUCCAAAAAGCAGUUUCAAUUCAGCAUUAUGAUUCAACAGCUAAAAAUCAAAACAAAAUUCCUAUUAAGGCAGCGCCUCCAAACUAUCCACAUUAAAAAUACCAGGCAAAGGAAGCUGCGGUUUUCCAGCAGGCUCAAGAGUCAGUCAGAUGUGGGAUAGCCGUGCAAAACGCCACCGCUAGCCCUGCGAAGUUCCUUUAAAUUAGGGUGUGAGAUUCACUUAAUCCCCUAGAAUUCCCGUGGCCCCAGAGCUUGCUGCCUUCCUUCGCAGAAUGUGGUUCUCAUUCGUCUCUGGAAGGACAGACUGAGGAGGUAACUGUCAGGCUGCCUCGAGCAAAACCUCGCUUCCCCCCCGCCCCCAUUCUCUGAUUUAAACCGACCAUAAAAUUACAUCAGAAAAGUAUAUUUUGGAAGAUGGGCGGGGUCAGAGUAGAAAAUCUGCAUUCAGAUUAAAUCUAGCGAGAGAAUGAGGGACGAGUAUUUGUCGAGGGUCACCAACUCCGGAGAAUCACGGUCAGUUUUCAGAGCAAGCGCCAGAGAGGGGGAAGGGUGGCGAGGGUCCUCGGGAGCGGAGCGCGGCCGCGCGGGUGCGGGACCGGCGCAUGGAGCUCUGGGAAAAAGGCCAGCCCCGUGUCCCGCGCGCCUGGCUCUGCUCCGCAUUUUGCCGAGAGCGGAGAGGCGGUUGAGCAGAGGAGGCGCACGGUUCGGGUCGUGUCACCAUUUCUUCGCGUGCUGACCUGACCAGAAGCAGAGCACGGCGGCGGCACCAUGGAGCCGCGGCUCGGAUAGAGGUUACCCAGCGCCCUCCCGUAGCUCUCCAAAGAGCAUGUGACCAGGCCGUUAGCAGCGCCGCGAGUGCCGGGCAGUGGCACGGAUGGUGCCUCAAAUAUCCCUGGAAGCUCUGGUGUCACUUGAAUGAAGGAGUCGAGCAGGUGUUGUCCCGGAGGCUGGACCAAUCCGAGACCCCAGCCCGUUUGACAACAUAGCCGGGAGGCGGGGCUUGCGCUCAACUACUACUGGAGGAAGCUGAGCUCCGCUGGGAGCGCCCGACAAAGUUGCAGACCUGGCAGCGGCCACGCUUUCGCGUGCGUCUGUGGGCCCUGUGACACCUGGGAUGUUGUGUCUCGCCCUCUCCCACCACAGAUGGAUUCCGGUCUGGGCUGCAGGGAUCCAGGUGACAAUCCAGUCUUGCAUCAUUUCAAGGCGGGUAACGGAGAGGUGCAGGCAGCCCCGAAUAAGCCCGCAGCGGAGCCCAGCGUGCUCUGGGUUUAAGGGCAACUUUACGCGUCUCCAAAUACACACUUCCAUUUUCUCGAGGCGCUACUCUCUGCCCUGCUCUGGAUUCCCUUUACUCUUCAAUCUCUGAAUGGAAGUGAAAAAAACGAGAAAGCAAAAUUCGGAGGAAUGCUCUCCAUCUCUUCUCCUUUCCUGUUGGAGCCCCCUCCCUAAGCACUGCCUGGAUUAGAUUGUCCCCAGCUGCUUUCUCCCCGGCUGGAGGAAGCGAGGAGAAAGUUGGGCGCCGCUUGGAGCGCCUUUCCUCCUGCUGUGUGUGUACGUGUGCACGCUCACGUCUCCCUCGCUCCGGGGCCGCGGACAGGAAUGCUCCUGGCCUUGUCAGCCCGACGGCGCAACUCUGGGGGCUAGCAGGGAUGGGGGAGGGCGGCGACGCAAGCGCCGCAACAGCGCCCCCGGGCGCGCACUGAGUGUUGGCACGCCCUCGUCCCUCCCCCGCACUCCCCACCCUCCUGUGGGAGAACAGGUGAGCCCGGGUACCAGCUCUGAAGCCUCACACACCCAGCCCGGCUCGGCGUCCGCGCCCUCAGCAGUAAUGUGCCAGGAAGGUUUCAUCACCCACCGCCUGCGGGCGACGCAGCCCCGGGCCUCCGCAGCGGGGCGCACUGGCGGGUUUAUUGGGGCUGCCAUGUGACAUGCGUGGGGGAGGGGAGAGGGAGACGCGGGGCAGGUCAUCCUUCGGCUGACUGCUCGGCUUCAGCUUUCCGUCCUGAGGCGGAAGCUAGGGGCCAGGUGACCGCCGCUGACUGCGGCUACCUUCUCGGUGGAGCAGACUGCAGAUAGGAGGAAGGCAGAGGAAGACCGGGAGGGCGCUUUCAGAGUGCGCUUCCCAUGGGCUGGAGUGCCCAGGAGCCGCUGUCCACUGUACCUGCUCAGAUUUCAGAGCCCCAGGAAAUGAUCACUUUGAUCUGAGUCUGCAAAAAUGGCAAGAAACUGACCACUCAUUCCCAUGCUUCCGAUCGCAGCUCCUGCUGCCGCAGAUCUGUUGUGGAAGGCAGACUGGCAUCCUCAUUGCUCGCCUAGCUUGUUUGAAUACUCAACUUAGCUUCCCUUAUUCAUGAAAACCACCUCCUGCAGAUCUUUAAAAGCCAAACAAGCAAACAACACAACAGCACUCUGGCCUAUGCCAAUUGCUUAAAGUCCCACAUUUCCUGGGGUCAAGUGGAUGUUUGUUCUCAGUCUUGAUUAAAGGUAUUAACUGAGUUCUUUCUUUCCAUCUGGUCUCUUUUGUGGGUGAGAACAUGAAGAGUAUUGGCAUUAAAAAGGCAUCUGGUCCCCCCCCCCCUUUUUGACAAACAGAAAUAGGAAAUCCAGGGGGCAGGAGCAAGCACCUUUUUGCCUGCUGCAGACACCUAGGCUUCUGCCAGCAACCUGGCAGAUGGAGGUGACUGGUACCUGUCUCCUCUCUGCCUGUGUUAGGCUCUGCCCUUGCUACCUGAGGACCUUUGCCUGCUCUCAGAGGACCUAUAACUUAAAAAUCAUCUUGAGGGUAUUUGCCUUACAAAGCAAUUAGCCAAGGAACACUCAUAGUUCUUGGCUGAGUGAACAGCCCCUUUAGAAUGAAAAGAGCAGGCAGUAGCUAGAAUUUGAGGUGUUGUAAACAUGGGCACUUGUUCUUAAAGGUAUACCUCUGGACCACUUAGCCAAGGCCAAAGCGUCCAGAUGAGUCUGCUCAGUCCAGUCGAUCUUAUCAGAGCUUUGAGAAUUCUGCAGAAUCACUGGACUGUUUGCAGGAGCUACUAAUCCAGGCUCUAGGCCCAAGGAAGAAGGAGUGCUGGGUGCACAGACUGCUGACUUUGUUGGGAUUUCUUCUUCCUACUGAUUCCUUUGGCUCUGUCACUCAGCCUGUUUUGGCAGACUGGCUGAGAGUGGGUGAAGAGGGGCAGUAAUCAUAACACUGUUAUAAAGUAACAUGAAUUGAGAAUAGGCCCUGUGUCCCCUGCCAAGUUUGAGACUGUGUUGUCCUAGACCUGAAGUCCACCCUAACUUUGAGUUGUGAGAAGCAUGAGGACAGACCGGUUGGUGCUGCCCUGAGGUUAAGCAAAGUCAGGUUGCAGAGUUGGGCCCUCUUUCCAUUGAGACCAUGUAACUGGAGAGGCAGUCAUGGCCCACCAUGUAACAUUCAGUAGCUUCUGUGGUUGAGUCAUGGGGCCCUGUUUCCCCUCUAAAUUCACUUCAUCAGUUAACUUCAGUCAGCUUGAAGUGGUAAGGUUUUGAAGAGGGGAUAUUUGGGUGAGAUCUUGAAAGAUGGAGCAACUGCCACAAAGUUGAGGCAAGUGAAAGAGAGUUGGUGUUGCAGGUGGUAGGGCUGGAAGUAAAUGCAGCAGGGGAUCAGUGGGAUUUGCAUCAAGAAUAGGGGUUGUCCAGUUGGUGUUAAAGAGAUCAAUCUGGUGAGUUCGACUGGGGCAUGCUGUAGAACUGGGCCAUUGUGAAAAUUCUUGCUCAUCAUGAAAGAUCUUGCUCUCUCAUCCUGAGGGAUAUUUAAAGAUGAGAAUGUGGGGUACUCUUUGACUAGAUGCUUUUUAGGAAUUAGGAAAAGCUUAGGGGCCUAUUGCUGACACUGUGGAACAAUGGGAAGGAACGAGUUGGAAUUUUGAUGUGUGUUGCCAUGUCCAGCAGGAGAGGCUUUCUUGCUCGGUGUAAGCAGGUGGAGCCUUAAAGAAUUGGAUGAGUUCUUGUCUGUGGGGCAAUGUCUGUAACUUGACACAUGCUGUCUAGUCCAGGCUUUCUGAGUUCUAAAAACCUGGGUGGAGAACAUGGCUUAGUCCUAGGGAGCUCCGCCCACCGCCCGCCGGCCCACUUGAACUGACUGCCUGGGCUGAUGGCGCCACCUUAUGGUCAGAGGGGGAACUGAAUGACCAAACAGCUUAUCUGGUUCAAGGGCCUGGGCACUAGUAUUGAGUCACUUUCUUUUUCCUUAGUUUCCUUACUUUUUCCUUAACAAGUUAGUUAAUACUGAUUUAGGCGAUCUUCUCAUAAUGAUUACUUUAAUUCUCUCCAUCAAAGAAAUUGCUCUCAAGCUUAUUUUCCCUCUUCCUGCUCCAUCCUUUGCUGUCUUUGUGAGCCCCAAAUCUACCCUAAUCAUGGCUCCUAUGUAUCCUGCCCACAGGAAGGAAAAUGACAGAUUAUUGUAGUGAAACUGGACAUUCAAAACUACAAAUUGCUGUUGUCAGGCCUAUGAAAUUCUUGCAAGCAGAGGUCUCUCCCUAAAACAAUAUCUAUAGUUCUUCUAAUCUAAUUAACUUGAUUAUUUCAUUCAAUAGAAUUCAAGAUAAAGCAGACCAUGUCUUUAAUGUUUGUGUUUAUUAGUAAUACUACAAAAUUAUUUUCUACUAAUUUUCUCUCUAAAAACACACAACUUCAACAACAUUAUAAAUUAAGAAGGCUUUUGUUGGGCUGGCCUGGAAACCUAAAAUUUAUUUUUAGCUGGAUAUAGUUGCAUGUGCCUUUAGGUCCCAACUACUUGGGAGGCUGAAAAAGGAGGACUGCUUGGGCCCAUGAGUUUGAGGUCAGCUUGGGCAACAUAGUGAGACCCUGAUCACAAAAUACAUAGACCACACAUUUAUAUGUACAUAUUUAUUUUUUGGAGAAAAAUAUAUUUUGAACUCCUAAAACAAUCAACUCUCAAAGCAUUGAAACAUAACACAUUUGUGAAUUGGGCAUUUCCUCUAUGUUAUUGAUCAAUAGUCAAAAUGUUCAUGGAUUGACUGUAAGUACAAAUGAUAAAAAGGAAUUUUUAAAAGCCUAGGAGGGGGCUGGGGAUUUAGCUCAGUGGUUUUGCUGCCUGCUGUGCAAGCUCAAGGACCUGAGUUCAAUCCUCAGUACCAAAAAAAAAAAAAAGCCUAAGAGAACAGGAGCACUGUAUCCCUCACAAUAAAUCCAUUUACUGGAAAGAAUAUAAGGCAGUAAACAUUGGAUGUCUGUUUGUGACCUGAACAUUGUUAGUGCUUUGUUUUGAAGCUUGCAUUUUCUCAGAAGCCCCUCUAUUUUCUUUGGGUCAUAAUUUCUGCUUUCUCAUUGUUUGCUGAGACAAACUCCAGGAGAAACUAUCCCAAGGAAUGAGUUGCCUGGGUUCCACCAAGGGAGCUGGUUGAGCCUAGAGGUCAGCAUUGUCGUGGUGGAUACUAAGGAGCUUUCCCUGGCUAGGUUUCAACUUUGUUCUGAGAAAUGUUAGAUUUCAGGUGGGUGAAGAAGCAGUCUUUUUUUUUUUUUUUUUACGAGAGUUUCUAAUGAAGUAGGUUUUGAAAGUCUUUGGUAAAUGGCCAAAUCCAUUAAUGCAAUUUAACCCUCAAUAUUUGAUCAGUUUUACAUUUAGAUUGAGUUUUUUUUCCUGAGAAGUUCUGUUUGUAAGGACUGCUAUUUCAUGACUUUUAUUCAUUUUUAGGAGUAUUUCUAAGACCAAAGAGCACAUUUCAAGCAAAAGUUGAAUAAAGCUCAUUCUAUGUUGAAAUAACCACAUAGCACCUUGGGAACCAUUUAUAAGUCUAUGGGUGGGUGUAUGGGUAAGUCAUAGGAACUUAGUGAUUUUAAUUUUCUUAUAUAUUGAAAAAUUUCAAUUUAGUCACCCUAAUAAAUACUUUAUUAUUACUCAUCAGUUAUUCCCAAUUAUGGUAAAAAUCACUGAAAAAGAAGGAAGUGGAAGAAUGAUGGAAUCACCUAUAAGGAUGAUGCAAUAAUGAAACUAAUCAUCACUACUGCAUCAUCCCCCGAUUUUUAAAAAUUACAUUGUCUAAAGUGUUACACCAUCUCUCAAGAAGGCAUAAAAGAAGACAAUGGGGAGAAACAACCUCAGGUACAUUCAGCCAAAAACAUAAGCUGGAGGAAAGAUAUCCUCUUUCACAAAUGGUGCUGGGAAACUGGCUAUCCACAUGCAGAAGAUUGAAGCUAGGCCCAUAUCUCUCACCACAUACUAAACUAAAAUCAAAAUGGAUCAAAGAUCUAAGUAAUAAAGCAGAAACAAUUUACUGGAAGAUAAAACAGGUAAAACUUUUGAAGACAGGUGUAGGCAAAGACUUUCUGAAUGGAACCACAUUCUUAUGUUGCAUAAGAAAUAACAUGAAGCAUCAACAAAUGGGAUUAUAUCAAAUUAAAAAGCUUACGUACAGCCAACAAAACACUCAACAGAGUGAAGAGACAACUUACAGAAUGGGAAAAUAUUUUUGCUAGCUACUCCUCGUACAGAGGACUAAUAUUAGAAUGUAUAAAGAAUUCAGAAAUGAUAACCACAAAAUAAAAGACUCUAUCAAUCAACAAAGGGGCAACUGAAAUGAAUAGACACUUCUCAGAAGUACAAAUGACCAGUAAAUACUUGAAAAAACGUUCAACAUCUCUAGCCAUAAAAGAAUGCAAAUUAAAACAACACUGACAUUCUAUGUUACUCCAGACAGAAUGACUAACACCAAGAAAUCAAGUAAAGGGCCAGGGAUUUAGCUCAGUGGUUUCACCACCUGCUGUGCAAGCGCAGGGACCCGAGUUUGAUCCCAGGUACAAAAAAAAAAAAAAAAAAAAA